AUGCCGCGGUGAAUACGUUCCCGGGUCUUGUACACACCGCCCGUCACACCACGAGAGUUGGUAACACCCGAAGUCGGUGAGGUAACCGUAAGGAGCCAGCCGCCGAAGGUGGGACCAAUGAUUGGGGUGAAGUCGUAACAAGGUAGCCGUAUCGGAAGGUGCGGCUGGAUCACCUCCUUUCU
rnacentral:rRNA from 2 species